rnacentral:tRNA from 1 species
GCGGGUGUAGCUCAAUGGUAGAGCCCCAGCCUUCCAAGCUGGUUAUGCGGGUUCGAUUCCCGCCACCCGCUCCA